UGGAUUUGAAAGGUGGCAGUGGAGAGAGAGCAUUCCUCUUGGAGGGUGGUUGUGGUUGUCCCUGGUGACAGAUGGACACCCCAAGGCCUUGUGGAUCCUGACUUGGCCAUGUUCUCACUCUAUACCUAGUUCAUCUUAUUGAUUGCUGGCCUCUCUGACCAUCAGCGGACCUAGGCCCACUGCUGGCUGCCUGCCAUUGAGCCCCAAAGGCAGCAGCUCCACGGAUUUUCCACGAAUUCCCCCUUCUGGGUCCUUUUCAGUGGCCGGGUGGACUUGGCCUCUUGAACAUCCUGUUUGCUCCAACUUGUCCACCUGAUGCAAGUGCACGUUAGGUGACUGUGUCAACAGAGUGGUGCCCGAGAACCCCCAGGACUCCGGAAAGGAACUGGUGUGGACCCACACGAAACCAGAAAGUGGACCCAAGGGCCAAGGAAUGCCCAUGAUGAGAGAGCAGGACUGUGGCCCAGACCGGGGCUGCUGCUGGUCUAUGCAGCGCCUUUGUGUGAAGUAGAAAAAAACGUGCCCCUUCUUUUUGGAGACGGAGCCUGGAGCAGCUGUUCUUGGGUUGGAAAGUGAAGCCUGGACUGGAUUUUGGCUCCUACUUCAGCAGGGGCCAACCUGCAUUACCACAUGCAGAAUGUAAUCAGGACUAGGAGCUUAUGUGAAGCUAGUUUUUAAAUCUCUCCCUAUCAAGGAAUUUGGCGAAUAGAUAUACACCUGGCUACAUGGAGAGCAACUUGUUGUGUACAUAAGGCUUGGAAAGAAAAUCAUUUAGAAUUGAAGAGGACAAGAGCCGUGUAAGGAAAGCAGUGUGCUUGGUGACAGGAACUUGGAAUGAGACUGGUGUAAAGAACCUGGCCGUGGUGUCAGACAGAGAAGAUUUGAAUCCCGUUGUUGUCACUUAUAAGCAGUAUGAUUCCCUGGGUUUUCUUCUGCGUCAAAUGGAAGUGAUAAUUGGAUAUGUUUCAUAAGGCGAUUGUGAAGGCUAGAUAGGAUAAUGGAGGUAAGUUCUCAUACAGUGCAUUGGGUUUAAUUUGUUAGUGAAUGCUAGUUGUUAUUUUAUGAGAAAUCUUAAUAUAUUUCUAGACACCGACUUAAAAGAAACAGAAAGAAAGGCAAAUUGAAUGAUCUGUAAGGUUCUUUAUUGCUCUAAGUUUUCAUACUUCUCCUUUGAAACACAAAGUUUAAGUAGGUUUUUCGUGACAGAAAUAUAUUUGUAGAUUAAGAUGGGGCCUGAAUGUUGUGCCAAAAUUGUAGAGUUUUGAGAAUAUGAUUUCCUUGGGGAAUAAAAUGGGAUUAUUUCUGUCUAUUUAUAAUCUGAACUGGUCCUUUCUUGGCGAUGUGAGGGAACAUGCAAAGUUUUAUAUUUAAGAAAUUUGGGAAACUGGUUGGUUAGGCAUUGGUCAAUACCAUCACUUUUGUCUAAUAGCUGCCUUUUGUUCUCUAUAAAAAUAAAGAGAUGGGGUCAUUUAUGCACUUAGGAGCAAUGGGAAAAUUUGUUCGAUGUUAUAUGUUUAGAGCAGUCCUAAAUCUUGCGUUUCCUGAAGCUUUUGAUGUGUGGAGGAUUUGAAUGGUCAUUCUCUGGAUUCAAGAAAAUUUAUAAUAUCUCUUAUAUAUCCAGCAACAGAUGUAUAAAAGUUUCCGGGGAGGGAAAUGGUUCUUUCAAAAUGACUUUUGGAUGAUACAUGUGUAAGCAAAUAAGACAGAUAUCGAUGAAAUGUCCUUCCAACACAAAACAAAUUGACCAGACGUGCAAAGGUUUUUGCCAAACCCCAGCAUUUGAUAUCCCCCAAAGACGUUUUGUUGCUGAUUUCCAGCUAAGGCUUGAAAGGUGGAAAAUUUGCUCGGAAAUGGUUUAGUAGAGCAAGAAGUAAGGCAGAAAGGCAAAGUGUCAGCGCUGAGGCACGAAGAAGCUUCCAAUCCUUUUCUUCAUAUCUGUGUAGAUAAUAUGCAAAGAAAAAAAACAGAAAGAAAACAAAAAGGUGAACUUGGAAAAAUUCCAAGUCAUAUGUGCUGAUUUCCCUCAAUUCUGGGGAAACGACAUGAAU